rnacentral:lncRNA from 1 species
GUACUAGGUGCACCUUUGUUCUCCCUUUGAUAACCACUCCCCACACUCUCGACCCCCACCAUGGAUUGUCUCCAUUGACGGCCUGACCUUUACUGCUGUGUCAACCGUGGGCUGUGGGCUUCCAGAACACCCUUAGGGAGCUGGGAGUAGAGGGACCCAAUGGGACUGGCCCAGCCCUCAAUGUGGACCUUGAGCUCCUGCUGCUGUUGACNCUGUUGGUGGGGGAAUGUAUUUUUAUUAGCCUCUUGUCCUCAAGGGGGACACCAUAAGCUACAUACUGUGGUCCUUGUACUGUUGGCACAGCAAUUGUCUUUCUGUAGCUAGGCUGUUGUACAAGUUGUGGCUUUAGGAUGGGGGGGGUGGCUAAUGUAAAUUGUUACCCGUGGGAUAAAUAUCACUCGUGGCUUAGGUUGGAGGAAUAACAGUCUUGUUUGUGUCCUGAGAGAGAUUGAAAUGCACCUCAUGCCCUGCCUCAGGUGUAUCCUUAGGCUCAUUCUGGGAAUUCUCCUACAGCCUCAGGCCAUACAGACUUUUGUCAUCGAUGGACGUCUGCCCUGUUCUCCACAUCACGAGUACCAUCAACCAAGCACUUGACAUUCCCAGUGGUUCCCGUUUCCAGAGGGUGUGCCCGGCCGCGGCCUCCCGCACGCUGUGACCCUUCAGGCAGUGGGUGCAGGUGCUCAUCGCCCAGCAGCUCUGUGUCUGCUCGCCUGUCUUCUCUGGCUCUGGUCCUUCUCCUGUGCCUGACAUUUUCUUUCUCCAGAAUUGAAUUGCUCCUGGCAGCACAUUCUCCCUAGAGCUGGUGUCAUCUGAGACUCCUGGCCAACCUCCUGUGGGUCCCCAGUGCCAGCCAGAGCCACUGCAGGUGUCCUGGGUCCCUGAGGGCUGUCGCGUAGCUGCACAGACCUCCAGGUGGCUGCACAGGCAGCAGAGGAGGAACCCUGCUGGUCGUGUUGAUGAGAGAUUGCUUUCCAGAUGCGCGGUUGGUGGUCAGCCAAACGUAGGGGACAGAGAAGUCCUGCUAAGGACAGCUGACAGCAAGCCCUUUGGGCCGAGGUGAUGGUUUGGGUGGUUCUUCCCCUUCCCACACCCCAGUGUUCAUCUGGGAAGAGCUUCUGUGACCUCACUGGGGUAGGAGGGCAGCUGGGUCCCUGGGGCUGCAGGGAGGAGUGGCCAGUGAGAGGUCUUCUGGCACAGCUGCUGGGGGCAGGGGUGGGAAAGACCCUCCAAGGCUUUGGCAGGACCAACAUGGGCCCAGGCAGAGGCCCAGGGGACAAGCAUAAGAGGGACCCAGAUGCCACACAACCACUUGGGCUCUUGUCUUGUUGCUGCCCCUCACCUGGACUGCCGUGCCAGGAACCAGAGCUGAGUGUGGCCAUGGGAGCCCACAUGGGCAUCGGUGAGCUGGGAGGGUGCUGUGUCAUGGUGUUUGUAGGCAGUGACCAGGGUCAGAGGGAGGUGAGGAGACCAGGCUGCAGUCAGCCCUCUUUUGAAGGCCCUCACUAGGACGACAGCCCCUGAGGGGGACAGUAACACUUGGAGAACAGAGGCUUCCAGUCACCUCUGCCACCCAGGCACAUCCGACCUGUCUUCCCAAGCAGCCAGCAGCUCGGGCUGUGAACAGCCACUGACACAGCCCUCUGUGCACCAAGUGUGAAGAUACCCUCCUGUGCACUCAACCGUGUGCUCUGCUGAGCUCCGGNCUUUACUAUAAAUUAGUGCAAAUUCUG